rnacentral:rRNA from 1 species
UACGAAGGGAACUAGCGUUGUUCGGAAUCACUGGGCGUAAAGCGGGCGCAGGCGGACUAUCCAGUCAGGGGUGAAAUCCCAAGGCUUAACCUUGGAAUUGCCUUUGAAACUGAUAGUCUGGAGUGUGUGAGGGGGUAGCGGAAUUCCAAAUGUAGAGGUGAAAUUCGUAGAUAUUUGGAGGAACACCGGUGGCGAAGGCGGCUACCUGGCACACAACUGACGCUGAGGAGCGAAAGCGUGGGGAGCGAACAGG